rnacentral:rRNA from 1 species
CCUACGGGAGGCAGCAGUGAGGAAUAUUGGUCAAUGGACGAGAGUCUGAACCAGCCAAGUAGCGUGAAGGAUGACUGCCCUAUGUGUUGUAAACUUCUUUUAUAUGGGAAUAAAAUGUUCCACGUGUGGGAUUUUGUAUGUACCAUAUGAAUAAGGAUCGGCUAACUCCGGGCCAGCAGCCGCGGUAAUACGGAGGAUCCGAGCGUUAUCCGGAUUUAUUGGGUUGAAAGGGAGAGUAGGUGGAUUGUUAAGUAAGUUGUGAAAGUUUGCGGCUAAACCGUAAAAUUGCAGUGGAAACUGGCAGUCUUGAGUACAGUAGAGGUGGGCGGAAUUCGUGGUGUAGCGGUGACAUGCUUAGAUAUCACGAAGAACUCCGAUUGCGAAGGCAGUUCACUGGACUGCAACUGACACUGAGGCUCGAAAGUGUGGGUAUCAAACAGGAUUAGAUACCCCGGUAGUC